rnacentral:lncRNA from 1 species
GGCAACCUUCGGGGAGUCCGAACCAGGGGUCACCAUGUUAGGCUUCAAAAGAGUACCCUCAAGCAUGACAUGGUGGUCAUUUAGAGCCUUGUAGCAGGUAGCAAGAACACGCUCUGUCACUGCAGCACACUUUUGAAUGUCAUGUGAUCCGUCAACAAGAAUUUCAGGUUCGACGAUUGGAACAAGGCCACAUUGCUGGCAGAUGGCAGCAUACAUAGCUAGCCCGUUGGCAUUUUCUUGGAUUGCAAGCUCGGUUGGCUCAUUAGCACUGAUCUUAAGGACAGCACGCCAUUUAGCAAAGCGAGCACCAGCUUCAUAGUACUUCUGGCAUCGCUGUGCAAGGCCAUCCAGACCCU